CUUCAGCUACCUACACACCAACUGCCUGGAGCUCUCCAUCUACCUGGGCUGCGACAAGUUCCCCCACGAGAGCGAGCUGCAGCAGGAGUGGGAGAACAACAAGGAGUCGCUGCUCACCUUCAUGGAGCAGGUCCAUCGGGGCAUCAAGGGCUUGGUGACGGACCAGCAGGGAGAACCCAUCGCCAACGCCACCAUCGUUGUGGGGGGCAUCAACCACAAGAUCAAGACAGCCAGCGGCGGGGACUACUGGCGCAUCCUGAACCCGGGCGAGUACCGCGUCUCGGCCCCGGGCCGGGGGCACCAACCCCCCGCCCAG